GUGAGGAAUUUUCCGCAAUGGGCGAAAGCCUGACGGAGCAAUGCCGCGUGAAGGAUGAAGGCCUAUGGGUUGUAAACUUCUUUUCUCAGAAAAGAAUUAUGACGGUAUCUGAGGAAUAAGCAUCGGCUAACUCUGUGCCAGCAGCCGCGGUAAGACAGAGGAUGCAAGCGUUAUCCGGAAUGAUUGGGCGUAAAGCGUCUGUAGGUUGUUUAAAAAGUAUUCUGUCAAAGAUUAGGGCUUAACCCUAGAUAGGCAGAAUAAACUUUUAAGCUAGAGUGUGGUAGAGGCAGAGGGAAUGCCCGGUGGAGCGGUGAAAUGCGUAGAUAUCGGGAGGAACACCAAAGGCGAAGGCACUCUGCUGGGCCAAUACUAACACUGAGAGACGAAAGCGAGGGGAGCAAAUGGGAUUAGAAACCCCAGUAGUCC
rnacentral:rRNA from 1 species